AUGGACGUGGUGGGGAUGGUGGGGCGCGGGGUGGGGCGUGUCCUCUCGCAGGGCAUGUACUCCGUCGCCACGCCCUUCCACCCUUUCGGCGGCGCCGUCGACAUCAUCGUGGUUGAGCAGCCCGACGGCUCCUACCGCAGCACGCCCUGGUAUGUCCGCUUUGGCAAGUUCCAGGGUGUUCUCAAGCGUAACGAGAAGGUCGUCACCAUCGCCGUCAAUGGCGUGGACGCCAGCUUCCACAUGCUGCUCGACAACUCUGGCCAGGCUUACUUCAUGCGGGAGCUCGUGCCUGGCGGUGAGGACUCUGAAACCGCUGCAGAAGAAGCUACGAGCGAGCCUGAAACUCCUCUGCGUAGUAAGAGUGACGGGGAACUUUACAGCCAGUUGGUCGGCCCAGAGUUGAAUGAGGACCAGGAGGAACAAAAUGGAGAGGAGUUUGAUUCAUAUGGCUAUUCCAAGUUGGAGGAGGCAGAAGAUUUGGCAAAUCAAGCUGGUGGGGGCAAUUCAGAGAUGCUUUUGGUUAGUGUGAACGGGUGUGUUCUAACUGCUCCCAUUUCUUCAACUGAGGAGAAUAUGGAGAAUGUGCAACUAAGUGACCCGCAGUUCCAUUUGGGGCCUGGGGAGAGCUCGAGUGGCGACCUCAGCCGCGGUGGCGAGGUGUGGGAAUCUGGCAUUUUGGAUGGUUUAUACAUAUCACAGGAAAAGGUUAAGUUUGAUUCUGAACAUCCAUCAGAGGCUUUGGAGGAGCUUCGGGAGGUGUCAAUUUUGAAGGAUGGGUCACAUGACAUCCCAGUUAAUGAACAUGAAAGCCUCCAUGUCUCUGUUAAUGAAGGCCAGACCUGUGUUGCAUUGACCAAUGCUCUUGAUGUGUCGGUGAACAAUGAUGAUGCUUAUCAACCAUUGACCAAUGAAGACAAGACUUGUGACAUUCCACUGGUUCAGAGCAACUGUGCUGCAUUGACCAAUGAAGACGAGGUUCAGAGUGUGCCACCACGGUCAGAGAACAAUGGACUGAAUUAUCAACCUUUGGUCGUGGAAGAUGAAGGUCAUGAAGUUUCAGGGAACAAUGGUGAGGGCUAUCAACCCUUUCCCAAUAAAGAUGAAGCUCUUGACGUGUCGGAGAACAAUGAUGAUGCUUAUCAACCAUUGACCAAUGAAGAUGAGACUUGUGAUAUUCCACUGGUUCAGAACAACGAGGCCUGCAAGUCCCCAUCCAUGGAAGGCAAGGUUUGUGAUGCCAACAAUGAGAUUACUGAGGGUGAGGUUCAGGGUUUAUCACAGUCAGGGAACAAUGGUCCGGAUUAUCAAACGCUGAAUGUGGAAGAUGAGGCUAAUGAUAUUCCAGGGAGCAACGCUGAGGUUGAUCCACUCUUGCCCAAUAAAGAAGAGUCCCUUGAUAUCUUGGAGAACAAUGAUGAGGGUUCUCAACCAUUGACCAAUGAAGACGAGACUUCUGAUAUUCCACUGGUUCAGAACAAUGAGGUCUGCAAGUCCCCAUCCAAGGCAGGCAAGGUUUGUGAUGCCAGCAAUGAGAUUAUUGAGGAUGAGGUUCAGGGUUUAUCACAGUCAGGGAACAAUGGUCCGAAUUAUCAAACGCUGAAUGUGGAAGAUGAGGCUAAUGAUAUUUCAGGGAGCAACGCUGAGGUUGAUCCACUCUUGCUCAAUAAAGAAGAGCCCCUUGAUGUCUUGAAGAACAAUGAUGAGGGUUCUCAACCCUUGACCAAUGAAGAUGAGGUUCAGAAUGAUGAGGCAUGCGAAUCCCCAUCUAAGUCCGGUGAAAUUUGUGAUGAAAGCAAUGAGAAUAUUCAGGCUAGUUUUAGCAGAUAUGAUACUUUCAGAAGUUGCUUGGAUUUGACAUCACAAGAUGAUGGAGAUUCAGGAACUGAACUCUUUUCACCUGAAUUUGAUCACCAGAGGGAUCCUGAGCUUAGUCUGAGUAUCCGUUCCGAUGUUGACAUAGAUCUGGGAGAAGAUGGAAGUGAAACUGCGGACUGUGAUCCAUCCAAUCAAUUAAAGCAUAUAGAGGAAGUGGAUGUUUCAUCAGUUACUUCAGACGAUAAUAUAACACGCAGCGAAGGCUGCUCUCCUGUCUAUGGCAAGGCAGCUGACUUGUCCUGUGAAGGGGGUUCUGAUGACAGGAGCAAAGAUACCACCCCUUCUAAUAUUGCUGCUAGUAAAUCUGAUCGCUUGCGAAUGUCCCCAAGCAGUGACAGAGACAAAUUAGGAAGCAUUCCGGAGAACCCAACUGCUGAAGAGGAAAUAAAUAAAGAAGAGCACCCCCAUUUACAGAAGGGUUUGGGCUUUGAGAUUUCUCUGUGUGGGCACUUGCUACGGCCAGGAAUGGGCCAAACAUCUGCUGAUGAAGUGUUCCAGCAAAAUCUUGUCCCUGAGGAGGAUUUCAAAUUGUCUGGACCAUCAAUAAUAAAAAAUGCAAACCUUAUUGUCAGAAUUGGCUGUAACUAUUUCUCAUGGAGUAAAGUUUCUCAUGUUGUUCUUGGGAAGGCUGUAUUUGGUCCAGACUUCUGUGUAGAACCUAUCGAUGCUAUUCCAGUUGAACGCCAAGAAACACCCAAUUCGAGAGAUGAUUCUCUUGGGUUGUCCCCAAGCCGGAGAUGGAGGCUGUGGCCUAUUCCAUUUAGGAUAUCAAGAUCUCUUCAACGCAGUAAUAGUGAUUCUUCUGAGGAUAUUUUUCUUGACACAGAGACAGUCUUAAGUCCUAUGGACGAGCAAGCCCCAGCCAACAAUAAAGACCAGUCACCAAGAAAGCAAUUUGUGCGGACUUUAAUUCCCACUAGCGAACAGGUGGCAUCUCUUAAUCUUAAGGAGGGACAAAACAUUGUCACCUUUAGCUUCUGCACCAGAGUUUUUGGGAAGCAGCAGGUUGAUGCACAUAUCUACGUGUGGAAAUGGAAUGCAAAAAUUGUUAUAUCCGACGUGGAUGGAACCAUCACAAGGUCUGAUGUCUUGGGCCAGGUCAUGCCUUUAGUCGGACGAGAUUGGAGUCAGUCUGGUGUUGCUCGACUCUUUUCUGCAAUAAAGGAAAAUGGUUAUCAACUGAUAUUCCUUAGCGCUAGAGCCAUUGUCCAGGCAUAUCUGACAAAAAACUUCCUCUUCAAUCUAAAACAGGAUGGGAAAGUUAUGCCUAAUGGACCUGUUGUAAUUUCGCCCGAUGGAUUGUUCCCUUCACUCUACCGAGAAGUUAUACGAAGAGCACCACAUGAGUUCAAGAUUGCCUGUCUGGAGGACAUUAAAGCACUUUUUCCUUCUGACUACAAUCCAUUUUAUGCUGGAUUUGGCAACAGAGACACUGACGAGCUUACGUACAAAAAGAUGGGAAUUUCGAAAGGCAAGAUUUUUAUCAUCAACCCCAAGGGUGAAGUGGCCAUCAAUAGUUCAGUUGAUGUGAAGUCCUAUACCUCCUUGCAUACCCUUGUCAAUGACAUGUUCCCUCCAACAACUUUGGUUGAGCAGGAAGAUUACAACUCCUGGAAUUAUUGGAAGGUGCCGCUGCCAGACAUUGAUUUGUAG
rnacentral:rRNA from 1 species